CUUCCAUUAUUUUUGCACCUAAACACAAAUAUCUCCUUUUUAUGCUUUGGAAAUUGAAAAUUUGAACAAUCCGAAGUUUUUCCCCAAAGAAAUGCCGAGAAAUACGAGAAAACUUGUCGUUAACGCGGUAAAUAUUCUGAGCUUUGGAGACGCCUUUGGAUUCAACCGCCACGACGCGUUCUUCGUUUCGAUUUACACUCGUCUGCUUCGUUUGAGAAAGAAAUGAUGUUUGGGAAACAUUGAUGGCAACAUGAGAGUUUGGAAAAGUGUCGCCAGAGGUUCUUUGCAUAUACUACAGCAGCCAUGACUUGAUAAACAGGACACAUGGAACGUGUGGUAACAGGCAAGGCGAACAAAGUUACCACCAUAAUGAUUGUUGUUGCAGUCAGGAACACCCUAUCAGGCAAUACUCUGUUGUCAUCUCUUGUUAUUGACCUCAGUAGAAGAUCGAAAAGCCUAGGAGCAUUCUUCUCACAAAAGUCCCUCAUCACAGCUGGCUCGUAGAGUUGUACCUCUGGUCUGCUUUCAUAGUAUUUGAACAUAGCAGUCUGGAACUGAGUGACCAACAGGUCAAAGUGUUUUGUCAAGU